rnacentral:rRNA from 1 species
UACGGGGGGGGCAAGCGUUGUUCGGAAUUACUGGGCGUAAAGGGCUCGUAGGCGGCCAACUAAGUCGGACGUGAAAUCCCCAGGCUUAACUUGGGAACUGCGUCCGAUACUGGAUGGCUUGAAUCCGGGAGAGGGAUGCGGAAUUCCAGGUGUAGCGGUGAAAUGCGUAGAUAUUCGCAAGAACACCAGUGGCGAAGGCGGCUCACUGGCCCGGUACUGACGCUGAGGCACGAAAGCGUGGGGAGCAAACAGG